UUUUUUUUUUUUUUUUUUUUUAUGUUUUGCACUUCCAUCUCUUGCUUUUAACAGGAUGAUUAUUGUCAUAUUGAUUGCUUAUUGCACAACAAUUAUCAUGGUUUUUUAAAAUUCAGCAUGGGGUUUUCAAUAGUUAUUAAAAGAAAAAAAAAGAUUGCAUAGAAAUACUUAUCUACUUAUACCAACAAAAUGUUGAAUUUAUUUCAACCAAACACGCUUACGUAAUAUAAUAUUUUUCACUAAUAAAUAUAGCAUACUCUGUAUUAAAAAAAUACUCUUUAUUAUUUGUCAUAGAAUUAACUCUUGUCAUUAUUUCUCUGAGGUGUAAUACCUGUAUUGUCAGCGUAACAAAGGAAAAGAGGAGGAUUUAAAAGUAAAGUAAACUAGACACUUCAUGGUCACCUAGCUAGCUAACGUCUCUAAUAUUUGAACAAAAAUUAUGUCAAGAAGUGCCAGGUUGAAGUUUGUAAUUAGGGGAGGGUUGGUUUGGAAGGUAAGGAAAGAGGAAUCAUUAGUGUGUGAGGUCUUGAAUUAAAAAAAAAGGUUAUUAUUAUUUUACUCCCUUAAUGUUUGGUGACACUAUCAAUUUUUCCCUUAACAUUACUUUUUAAUCACUUUACUUCUAAGACCAACCGUCAAAUUUAACAAAAUUUUUUAAUUUAAGUAAAAAGAUAUGUUUAACUCUUAAAAUUAUUAUUACUUUACCUCCAUAUCCUAUUAUCAAUUUACUCAUAGAGUUAUUUUUUAGGCAAUUUAUCCCACCAUUAAAUCAACUUAACAAGUUAAAAAACUAGAAAAAAGUACCCUCCUCUUUAUAUAAUAAAAACGAUAUAAAAUUUAGAGUCUCUCUUCUCUUUUUUAAUAUCGGGAAAAAAAGUUAGAGCAUUAAUCUCUUUCUUUUUGACAAUCUUAUUAGUAUUAAGAAAAAUAGAAAGGUAGAGAAGGAGGGAGAGGGAGAGAGAGAGAGAGAGCUCAAUUCUUUUUUUUAAAAAAUAAAAACAAACUAGAAUUCAAUUUUAUAAAAUUAAUUUACUUUUCUUUUUAUCACCCAAUUCUAAUCGUAAUGCUGACGACAUUAAAAUGAUACGAUAAUAUUAUAUUCUUCUUUAUUUUCUUUUUUUUUUUUUGUAAAAUAGAAUUAUCUGUCUCCUUCUCUCCUAUUUAUUUUUCUUUUCCUAGUAUUAAUAAGUGUAAAAAAAGAAAUUUGAAAAAACCUUUUCAUUUUUAUUGGAACUCUUAGAGUAAAAAAAAGGAAAAAUAACCAUUCCAACUUUUCUAUUUUUAAAUAUAUAUAUAUAUAAAAGUGUCAAUACAUUUAAAAAUUUUUGAAGAUAUUGGUUAGGUUAGCAAUGGGGUAAAAUGACUAAAAAAUAAUGUUAGGAAGUAAAGUGAUUGGAUCACUAUAAUUUAAAAGAAUAAAGUAAUAAUAACAAUGUAGUAAUGCUAUAAAAUAAAAGGAUAUUUUUUGUCCAAAAGUUGUUAAAAUGCUUAGUUGAAUUACCUAUGGGAGUGAAGUGAUUAAAAGAUAAUGUUAAAGAGUAAAUUUAUAGUAAUAAUACAGUUUAACGAGGUAAAGUAAUAAUAAUCCUUAAAAAAAAGUUUGUAGAACUACUUCCAAUGUUUGUAUUUUUUUUUUUUUUUGGGACAAAAACUUCCAAUGUCUGGAUCAGGCUUUCUGCUAUGAGCCUACAAUUCCGUUUCCUGGACCUUGGGCCCUUGAAUUGAAGAUUUUGCGAUUGAACGGUUUUCUGUAGGGUAAAGUGGGGCAACAAUAUGGUGAUGCGAAGAAUUGCCCAAUUUUAACUUUCCUGUGAAGUUCGUAAACGAACUUUUUAAGCCACAAUACCCACGUUUUCAUUGAUCAUUGGAGAAGUGCCUCGCCCAAUAAAGCCUGUAAUCCACUACAGACACUUAAAUUUUUUGUUUUUGCUCUUACAAUGGUUAAAUAAUUAAGACUAGUGCUAAAGCUGUACGCGAUGCGUCUGCAAUUCAAAAAAUCUUUUUUACAAGUUAAUUUUAUAUAAAAUUUUAAUUACUAAAACAAAUGGUAAUAUUUGAACCUUUUUUUCUCAUCAAAUAAUGGUUACUUUACGGUUAAAAAUAGUUAUAGGUAAUUAUUUUACUCUAAACUUCCACCUUUCCCUUUAUGUAUAGUAUAGAUAUUGUACAUAACCAAGGAUUUGUUAUAUGAAUAAUUAAAUUUUUCUUCUAAUUAAUGGCCAACUUCCCUCUAAUUAAUUCUUCAUGCUUGAAGUCUUCAGUCUUCUUUUGGAUUGAGAGAUUUAACGACAGAUUUGAAAUCUUCUCAAAUCCCUCUAAUUGUUUAUAGAUUUUUUAGGAGGUGUUUGACUUUGUAAAUCACAAAUAAUAUUAGUGUUUAAAAACUAUUCCAUCAUCUACUGCUAAUUUGCCCAAGAAGGUGCUCAUGUGGAGCACUUUUAAAGAAUGACAACACAAAAUAGCAAUUAACUACGAGACUAAUCAACCCAGAAAAAAAAUUACUGUUUGAAUUUCUUCAGUAUUAACCUGCUUAUACAAUCAUUUCAAGUCUUAUUGUCAAAUUUGACAUCCCAAAAGCUAAGCUAAAUGAUUUAUUGAAUAAGGGGAGAAAAUGAGAGCUACAGUAAUUUAGAGUUUAUACUUAGCCUCUGAAUGACAGACAGAAGAUGCAUUCUGAGCCUGCACAUUUACAGAGAUGUCACAAGUGGUAAAAGUGGUUGUCUUGAUUUUCAAGAUUUUGAGCACCGUUGCUUUACCAUGCAAGGAAGUUGUUGAACUGAAGUUUAAGCUGCCAGAAGUAAGAUCCACCAAGAAAUAAGGAUUUGAGGAGAAAUUAUCCACUACAACCACAACAGUUGUGCCAACGUCAUGCUUUGCUCUAGCGGGAAUUGUGUCUUGUUGAAUUGGUGCUUGAGCCGCAGGAAUGCCUCUAUAGGUCACAAAAACUGUGCUGUUGUCAUACUUAAAGCUUCCAUAGUUGGGAUUAUCAACUAUAACCACUAUGCCUAGGGUAAUAUUGAGGUGGAACACAGGUAUUACUACCCAUUUGAUAGAAUCCAGGGUGACAGAUUGAGUUGUGAUUUUUGGUUUUCUGGGCUUGAGGACUGUAAGAAAUAAGACCAAGCCAACCACUAUUACAGUGAUCAGAAGAACUGUAGUGAUACCACAGCAUAUUUUUAGACCUCUUGGAGGCUUGCCUGUGCCACACAUUUUUGAUGAGUUAUGACUGCUUGGACGCUGAUGAUUAGGAGAUUCAGAAAUUUAUUCAGCAGUUUAUGAUGACAAGAUCGUUGGUUUCCUGGAUUGAUUGUUUCAUUAAUGUUAGACCAUUUGGUAAUGUGUCUGCUGCUGAUUACAGAAAAGGUUGACAAUGGUGAUAGUUUCAAAGGUGAUUUUAAUUAAAAUAACUUUUUGGAAUUUGAGUAUCUUCUUUGUGUCUUGGCUGAUUGUCAUGGAGAUUAAAGCAUAGAAUGGACCACUUGACAGGUUAAUGACAAAUUGUCAAAGUAAAACAAUUCUUGUUUCUAUCAAGAAGAACUUUUCAUCUUGUCAGCUAGCAUUUAGGAGGAUUGACUGAACACGGCUAUAUGUAUCCUCCUCCACGGAUUGAACAAUGAAAUCUAAAGAUGUUAUAUCUGGGUUUUCCUUUUUGCUUGUUUCCCAGUUUUUGGAGAAAUUAACGACCGCAACCCACAUCAGUACAAGCAAGUGAUCUGUAUACAACAAUUUUAAUUGUGUCUUAUUCUAAGUUUUACCAUGAGUAUAAUCAAGUGAACUAUAUAAGACAUUUUGUGUGGUAUCUUAUUCUAACAUCAGAAAAGCUCAAGUAUCAUGAAAGGAAAACUUGUUAGUGUAUCUGUAAUGCCUACAAGAGAUCUUAGAAAAUCAACAUAUGACAACUCACGACACUUCGGCAAUGCAUGUAACAUUAACUCCUUUUUUUUCCCUUUAGGUUUCAACUUCCAAGGGAAUGAGGAUUUGUAGACAUGCAUUUCUUUUACUGUAAGACAAGGGGCAUGAUUUCACAGCAGCAAACUUGCGUCCCAAAACAAAGUAGGAUAUUAUAUGGCCUACCUUACCUUGUGCACUAAUCUUGAACUGAGUGAAAUCUCUCACGUGUUCUGGUGAUUUUGGCCUGGAUUAGAGCAACUAAACUAAUGAAGCAGAGCUGAGUUUCUAAGGGUCAAAAAUGUACCCAUUUUGCCAAACUGUGCAAUGAAUUUCUAGUUGUGAUGUGAGGCGCCUCAUCAGGUAGUGUUUGAACUUGAGUGAACUUCAUUCACUUUGUCAACAAUAUGCACAUCAGCGUUAGACAGAUUAUUAAAACUAAAUCUGCAGGAUAUUGUCUUCCAUCUGCCGUUGGGAGAUUUGUUGGUAGUGUACACUCUUCUCCAUUGAAGAGCAAUCUUGAAGGGAACCCAUCGCCUUUUACAAUGUCAAUGCCUCGUAAGUGCUUUUUAGUGAAUGAGAUGACAGACUGUUGCUUCCCUGGUAUUUUUGGAUCUGUUUCAGGAUGUGUUCCAUUUGUCUCUCCCAUCAAAUAGUCCAAUCCUGGUUUUCCUGUCAUGAAAAUGGUGUUGUUGACUUCUUCAAGCAGUGUUCCAUUAAAGGAGUAGGCAUUUUGAAAACCAGGGCCUGCUUUCUUCAGUUCAACUGCAACAAACCAGUCCUUGAAGCUGACUUCUUUCCAAUUAAAUAACGUGAUACGGGCAGUCCAGCCAGUCCUAUAGUUGGUCGCGAUGUGCCAGUUUACACUAACCCCGCAGUUGUCACCACAAGGCAAUGGAGUUGGGAUAUGUUGCUUCUUGAGUCUUGCCCAAUGUACAGCCUUCUCGGUUCUGUUUAAAAACGGAAUAAGAAGGGCUUCUGGAGGAAGAAGCAAUGCCGGUACAUUUUUGCUGCACUUUUCCGAGCUACCACAUCCACAAGCACAUGUAUUGCACGGUAUGAUGGAGUCAUAGUAGUAUGCAGAAUACGAAGCACAGCAUUGAGACUCUCGAUUCUUAGGCUUGGUGAUAUUGCAGACAAUUUGCCAGCUGGCAACUGCUGUGCUGACGGCCUGAAGUCCGCUAGGAUCAGGAAAUUCUGUAUCAUCUACUCUUAAUGGCUGUCCACAUUUAUAGUGCGGAUUAAGCUCCCCUAAAAUCCUCCACUUUUGAGGAGGAUACAGAGCUGUUCUGUUCAAAUCUGGUGAAAUCUUAUAGACCUGCAUCUGAAAUACUGAUAUUGCAUCGGAUGCAUUCAUGAUGGUAGGCAGCAGACUACCAUUUCUGCAGCAGUGUGGCAAGUUCCCAAUUUCUUGAUCAGUUUUUCUAUCCUGAGGCAGAUCACCGAUGAUCGGACUCUUUUCACAACUCAUGACUUUAGAAAAAUCUAAGUCAUUGUAGUACUGUGCUGCAGCACCAUAAAUGCAGUCCGUCGCAUCUUUUUUGCGAGUAUAUGCUCCUCUCAUUGUGUAUAUGAACUCUCCUCUCAUCCACUCCCAUGUCAAGUUCCAGUUGUCAAGACGUCCCAAUGGAUUAUUGUUCUCAAUAGUCACCUGAGCAAGGUAAUUAGUCUGGUAAGCUUGGAUAACAUCGUAAGAGAUCGAGAGAUCACCUUUCUGUCGUGGAAAAUAUUUUGUCGUCAAAUUUUUGGCCUCCAAUUUUGGAUCUAUUGCACAGCACAUGUGCAUUGCUCUUGCUGUUACGGAAAACAUACACAAAAGAAAAUUUGAGAAUAUGGGGAAGAUGUAAAAUAUAAAGUUAACUAAGUACUAACCGCGUCGAAUUGGUGCAGGGCAUCUGAAUCCAUGAUUAACGAGCUUUAUUGUCUUAGGCAUAGGAUAUCCUGGAGGCCUGAUCCCAAAUUGAGUACCAGAUAGCUCAAUUUGCGCCUGAAUUUUGGUAAGAUCACCGGCAGUGUUGAUAGAUGUUUCCAAAUCUGUUUGUGGGUAGCCAGCCAGGUAAGUUCCAUUACCAACAGGAGCUGGAAAUUCAUCUCCACCUACUAGAACUGCAUUACUCGCAGAGACUAAAAUCUCUUGGUUUUGGAACCCAAUGAACAUUUUCCAAUUCUUGAGCACAUUCAUUCCUGCAUUCAAGAUUGCGGCAGUAGACUUGAACGCCCAUGGCUGUGCAGUGGCGUUCUUUAAAUGGGGAUACUCUUUUGUCCUCGAGACAAAUGUGUAGGACAGAAAAAUCCCAUUACAAUUCUCUGCUUCCGGGGGAGGCACAGCAGAUGGAUUAUCUUGACUGGCAAAAUCUUGUGCUUUACUAACAUAAAUUGUGAAAGCACAAAACAAAACCGAAAAAAGUAUUGGCAUAUUAGAGAUCAUUUCAUCAGUGCUUUACUAGAAACUUAUACUGGAUGAUGAGCAGCAUGGUAAGUUAGUAAUAGUGCUCUAGAGCAAGAAUUCUCAUGUUACAGAAAACUGUAACAAUUCAUGGUAAAGGUGAAGAGAGUUUUUGACAGGAGGAUUGGGAAAAACCGAAAAAAAUGAAAGCAAAAAAAGGUCCUGGUGAGAUGUGGGAUCAAGGUGCUGAAUUCAGAGAAAAGACCAAAUCAGGUGAAACUUCCUCCUAUUUGUCAGCGACACAUAUGGCGCCUUGGUGGGGGAAAACUACCAACAGUAUUUCAAGUCUUGUGUUUCUGUUACUUCCAAAGUGGCAACAAUACCCUUUGCAAAAGUAUGGAUAUUUUUUCACCAUUUGUGGUUCUAUUUCUUCCCCUCGAGUUUAAGUUUGCUUUCACCAGCAUUACCAUGGACUCCUUGGAGAGCUAGCAGAUUGGAAAUUGACAUCUGGGGACAAUCUUGAAUGAUUUUCUUUGCUCAAUUCGGAUUGAGUGAGACAAAAUUGUGCAAAUACAAAAAUGAAGAAUACAAGAAUGAAGCACAUGAAUUCGUGCAGAAUUUUUUUUUUUUAUUCGAUCACAUUCUUGCCCUAUUAACUUCUUCACCAGCAUUAAAAAAAAUGCUAUAAAGGAUCUGAGUUUCGUACAAGGGGCACUUGGCCAUCUAGGUUAUUCAGUUAUAGUUUCAUUUUUAUCCACUUCAAGAAUUAUAAUUGGUUGGGUUGUUACUUGAAUUAAUUGAUAAAAGAUUGGCUGAACUUUCACCAUAGCUAAUUUACAAGGAACUGGCAAACCCCUGUAAUAAAAUCAGCAUCUGGUUCCACAUUUUCAGCCUGAUGAGCACAUACCAACCCGUGAGCAUUGGAUGUAGAUCAAGAUCUCAAGAAAGAUGUUCCUCAAUGCAAAGAUGAUUCUGAUUCACUUGUAUAAACAUUCAAAUUUUUCCAAUACGAGGCCAUUUUCAAGAGUACUAGCAGAAAAGACACCAAAAAAAAGGAAUAAAUGCAUAGUCAAUUCCCAGCAGAUUAGCAGGAACAGAUAUGAAUGGUGUUAAGCUUAAGUCAGCACACAAGCAUCCUGACUUUACGUUAAAUCACAUUAGGACCAAGUUUUCGAGAGCACACUAAAAGAGUCCAACUGUUUACAAGGCCCCUCUUCAUGGUGUUCUUAUAAAGAGGCAAGAAAUACAAAAGGUAAAAAGGAAAGAAGAAAUUGAUUUUCCCAAAUUAGUCUCCCAAUUCAAUAUUAGGUAUACCUCUCUGUCUCACAAGGCAUUGCAUUGCUCAAGUCCCCUCCCAUGUCUUUUUGCUCCGUAUUUACCAUGAUCACAAA
rnacentral:lncRNA from 1 species